UCCCUCUCUCUUGCCCAGCAACCGCCCCUCCUACCUCCUCCUCUUCUCUCUAAUUGUGGCCCCUCCUUGUCACCGACCCUCUUUCUUCCCCUACUCACCGCCAUCCAUGUCUCUCUUCCCCUCAUUACCUGUUUCUCUCCACAACAUUCAGCAACUCAUCCUAUAUUUGAUAGCUUCACUUUGAGAAACCAUUGACCUUGGAUUUCAAGGAGUCCAGAAUCCUAAAAACUAGGAAUCGUCUAGAUUUGGAGAUGGAGAUUUCCAUGGAUGGUGGAUCUACCCGUUCAAAUAGGUAAGAAAUUGCCUUUUAUGAAAAUUUUCUCUUUUUGAAAUUCUUUUGGAUUUGUCUUGGAAAGAAGGGUGGCGUUUCCACUCCUUUGGAUCCCUGUUUUGGGGAUUUUUGGAACCACAUUUCCUAGCCGAAUACAGUUCAUAAACAUGGAAAUAUUCUAGGAUGAAAGGGGGAGCAGGCAUUUCCUACUUCUAAGGGUAUAAAAUAAGGGUGCAAGUUAUGGUCACUUAAAAUAUAAAAAAAUGCAAACAUAAAUGUCUAGAAUUUACACCAUUAAUCCUGCCCUACAGAAGAGACGGAGAAAACGGGUACUUCAACCAUGCUUUAAAGACAGAACUGCAUCUUUAAAUAAAUAAGCCAAACUUCUUUGACACAUUGUAAACUAACAUAGUUCUAAUAAUCACCAAUUAUAGGUCACUGGUUUCUGUAAAAGUUCAGCAACAAAAGAUGCCAUCGUGUCAGUGUAGACAAAGAAUCACAUAUAUAUUAACUGCUGGCAAUUGGGUGGAUCUCUAGUGAAAAGUCUCCGUAGAAAUCACAACUGCUUUGAGAAGAUAACUUUCAUUUUUGAUACCAUUGCAAUUUGAGCAGCAAGAGGUCUAAUGCUUCAAUACUGAAUAGAUGCGCCAUUUGGGCUACAUUAGACCAUAGUCCCUAACAUCCAUCAUAUGCAUGCAUGCAACUAUACCUACUUAUGUGUAGAAUGCAACCAUAUACAGUUUAUAUUAAUAGUUGAGCAAGAAUGCUCGGGGAAUGGGCUCGUAUAAGAUGUCAUCUGAUAGUUGUAAUAAAACCUGCUUCUAGAGAUUGAAGUGAAAGCAGUUACAAAUCCUUUUGUGACUUUGUCCUAUCUGUGCAGUCUCUGUGUACUCUCAGAACUACACUAAAAUUUUUGGUAGUCUUGAACAGAAAAGGAAAGACCAAAGAUACAUUAAUAAGUAAACUAAUUAGAUAGACAAUUUUUAGAUUGCACAAUAACCUUUUGCUGAUAACUGAGCACAUCAUGAAGGUUCACCUAGAGGUUCAUAAAGAAAUAUUAAGUCAUAUGAAUCUGCAUAUUUAAAAUAAAGUUAGAAAAUAGGACAAGUUGACACCUAAGACGAUAUGUAAUAUCCAGGCAAAGUAGUAAGUGCUUAACUAUGCCUGUAUAACAAGUUAAAGUAACCAGAUCACUUGUGCAUGAAUUCAGAUAUUUUAAAAGUGGCAAGCCAUAUACCA
rnacentral:lncRNA from 1 species